CGUUCCUACGGGGCGCAGCAGUGAGGAAUAUUGGUCAAUGGCCGGAAGGCUGAACCAGCCAAGCCGCGUGAAGGACGAGGGUGCCAAGCAUUGUAAACUUCUUUUGUCAAGGGACAAAAUCAGGCUCGAGAGCCUGACCGAGGGUACUUGAAGAAAAAGCAUCGGCUAACUCCGUGCCAGCAGCCGCGGUAAUACGGAGGAUGCGAGCGUUAUCCGGAUUUAUUGGGUUUAAAGGGUGCGUAGGCGGGCUGUUAAGUCAGCGGUAAAAUCCCGGGGCUCAACCCCGGCGCGCCGUUGAAACUGGG
rnacentral:rRNA from 1 species